UACGGAGGGUGCAAGCGUUAUCCGGAUUCACUGGGUUUAAAGGGUGCGUAGGCGGAUAUUUAAGUCAGUGGUGAAAUCCUGGAGCUUAACUCCUGAACUGCCAUUGAUACUAUUUAUCUUGAAUAUUGUGGAGGUUUGCGGAAUAUGUCAUGUAGCGGUGAAAUGCAUAGAUAUGACAUAGAACACCUAUUGCGAAGGCAGCAGGCUACACAUAUAUUGACGCUGAGGCACGAAAGCGUGGGGAUCAAACAGG
rnacentral:rRNA from 1 species